UUGGGGUUGAGGACAUACCACAUAUAAGAGGUCAUUAUAGACGAAGAAGUUUGGAAAAACUCAUCAUAGAAGGUAAUAAUCCUGUAGUCAAAAUAAUAAUUCUUUAGGUAUGAUCCAGAGUACUACGGGACACGUGAAACCCUGUGGGAAGCAGGAGGGACCACCCUCCAAGGCUAAAUACUACCUAGUGACCGAUAGCGUAUAGUACCGUGAGGGAAAGGUGAAAAG
rnacentral:rRNA from 1 species